rfam:Anaerosporobacter mobilis DSM 15930 genome assembly, contig: EJ17DRAFT_scaffold00008.8
UGAGUAGCACAGAUGAUUGCGCCUAUUAGCACCGAAAGGUCUUAGGUGAGGAAAGUCCGGGCUUCACAGGGCAGGGUGCCGGAUAACGUCCGGUGGAGGUGACUCCAAGGCUAGUGCAACAGAGAUAUACCGCCAAAUUCGUUUGGUAAGGAUGGAAAGGUAGCGUAAGAGACUACCGCAUUCUUGGUAACAAGAAUGGCUAUGUAAACCCCACUCGAAGCAAGACCGAAUGGAGAGCGAUACGGUUGCCCGCCGUGCUUUCGGGUUGGUCGCUUGAUCUUACUGGUAACAGUAAGACUAGAUAGAUAAUCAUCUAAUACAGAACUCGGCUUAUAGUGCUGCUCACAUG